AUUGAACGCUGGCGGCAGGCCUAAAACAUGCAAGUCGAGCGGAGCGGCUGACGGGUGGGUAAUGCCUAGGAAUCUGCCUGGUAGUGGGGGAUAACGUCAGGCAACGGGCGCUAAUACCGCAUACUUUCCGAUGGGCCUAGGUCGGAUUAGCUAGUUGGUGGGGUAAAGGCCUACCAAGGCGACGAUCCGUAACUGGUCUGAGAGGAUGAUCAGGCACACUGGAACUGAGACACGGUCCAGACUCCUACGGGAGGCAGCAGUGGGGAAUAUUGGACAAUGGGCGAAAGCCUGAUCCAGCCAUGCCGCGUGUGUGAAGAAGGUCUUCGGAUUGUAAAGCACUUUAAGUUGGGAGGCGUUACCAACAGAAUAAGCACCGGCUAACUUCGUGCCAGCAGCCGCGGUAAUUC
rnacentral:rRNA from 1 species